UGGGGAAUAUUGGACAAUGGGCGGAAGCCUGAUCCAGCAACGCCGCGUGAGGGAUGACGGCCUUCGGGUUGUAAACCUCUUUCAGCACAGACGAAGCGCAAGUGACGGUAUGUGCAGAAGAAGGACCGGCCAACUACGUGCCAGCAGCCGCGGUAAUACGUAGGGUCCGAGCGUUGUCCGGAAUUAUUGGGCGUAAAGGGCUCGUAGGCGGUUUGUCGCGUCGGGAGUGAAAACACCGGGCUUAACUCGGUGCUUGCUUUCGAUACGGGCAGACUAGAGGCAUUCAGGGGGAGAACGGAAUUCCUGGUGUAGCGGUGAAAUGCGCAGAUAUCAGGAGGAACACCGGUGGCGAAGGCGGUUCUCUGGAAUGUCCUGACGCUGAGGAGCGAAAGUGUGGGGAGCGAACAGGAUUAGAUACCCUGGUAGUCCACACCGUAAAACGUUGGGCGCUAGGUGUGGGAUCCAAUUCCACGGGUUCCGUGCCGCAGCUAACGCAUUAAGCGCCCCCGCCUGGGGAGUACGGCCGCAAGGCUAAAACUUAAAUGAAUUGACGGGGUUAUAGCUGUUUCCU
rnacentral:rRNA from 1 species